rnacentral:lncRNA from 1 species
UAAGAAGAGUCCAUAAAGAAGGCUGACAACAAAUGAAUGGAGAAAACACAAGCCCCAAAGCCUGCAGCACAGCCAGGGACCCUCUGUGAGCUGAGUCUGUGAGUUAGGGACCAGCUCUCUUCUCCAUGAAGCCUGCCCUGAUUCUCCCCAGAGGGAAGGCUGGCCCCCUUUUCCAAACUCCCACUACAUUUUGUCCAAACGAUGUUGGAAGCCACUGGGACUCCCCAAGAACAAUAUCCAAGUUGAAGACACCUUUUGCCACCCCCGCCAGUGGACAUGGAAGGAGUGCCGCACACACCCGCCCUGAAUGCAGAAGCAGCACCUGGGAAUUUGGAACAGCCUUCAUUAUUCUAGCCUCCGCCUCACCUCCCUGUUUUGUAUCAAUCCACUGAACUUGGUUCAAUGCCAGAACAUCCAAAGCAUCUUACACAGACUGUUGGUGGGAUAGAGUUCACCCCAAGGAUUUCACCAAGCACUAGUGUUCCUUGUUUUGCUUGUUUUUGAUGCCUAAAGAGCCAACAAGUGACUAACAGACUGUU